CCAGACUCCUACGGGAGGCAGCAGUGGGGAAUAUUGGACAAUGGACCAAGAGUCUGAUCCAGCAAUUCUGUGUGCACGAUGACGUUUUUCGGAAUGUAAAGUGCUUUCAGUUGGGAAGAAAAAAAUGACGGUACCAACAGAAGAAGUGACGGCUAAAUACGUGCCAGCAGCCGCGGUAAUACGUAUGUCACAAGCGUUAUCCGGAUUUAUUGGGCGUAAAGCGCGUCUAGGUGGUUAUAUAAGUCUGAUGUGAAAAUGCAGGGCUCAACUCUGUAUUGCGUUGGAAACUGUGUAACUAGAGUACUGGAGAGGUAAGCGGAACUACAAGUGUAGAGGUGAAAUUCGUAGAUAUUUGUAGGAAUGCCGAUGGGGAAGCCAGCUUACUGGACAGAUACUGACGCUGAAGCGCGAAAGCGUGGGUAGCAAACAGGAUUAGAUACCCUGGUAGUCCACGCCGUAAACGAUGAUUACUAGGUGUUGGGGGUCGAACCUCAGCGCCCAAGCAAACGCGAUAAGUAAUCCGCCUGGGGAGUACGUACGCAAGUAUGAAACUCAAAGGAAUUGACGGGGGCCCGCACAAG
rnacentral:rRNA from 1 species